rnacentral:piRNA from 1 species
AACUACUUACUCCCUAAUGGCCAGGA